CGCGCUUCAAACGUCGUCCAUAUUGUAUUUCAUGACAUACGAGAAAGAUGUUAUACCUUUUGCUCCUAGAUAAAAAGGCUUAUGACGAAGAUUCAGUGACAAAUACAUAAUUACAGCUUCCAGUUCAGUGUUUGUAAUGAGCCACACUAGACAAAACACUGUGGCAGGCAACACUAGACAAUUUAAGAUGAUGGAAAUGGCAGGUUGUUUCAUGAUGAUGUUUUUGGUAUAGAGCGGAACUAUAAUGGAGGGGACAGCCGUAGAUGAAACUUUUGAGAUAGAAGAUCUAAUGUUGUACUGAGAAGACAGUUCUGCUGGGAGUUUUGUGAUGUAGAGGUUUGAGAUUCUCUAAAUUUGACUUAAAGAUAUUGGUAAUGAGAUUGGUUAAAUUAGACAUUUAAAAAAAAAGAUGUUUUUAAGGGCCGAUGAUCCAUUUCCUUUAUUUUCUAAAUAUACAUGUUUCCAGAAAUGAAGUCUGCAGAUGACUUAUUGCAGUUUAACUACAUCCAGAAUCGUGUGAAGAAUCAACUUUCUACUUUACCGUUAAAAAGUCACUAAUUAUUGAGUUAUUUUUCUUUUUAAGUGGCCACCAAAAUUAAGGUGAAAUUAUGCUGAAAUAUCAAAAUAUUAGAAUUUCCCCAAAAAACUCUAGCCUUUAUAUCACACAUCUUUUGUUGGCGCGGCAGUAUAUUUAAGAAAAAUGAAAAAAGUAAAAAAAAAAUGUGGAGAACUGAAGAAAAAAAUAAUGAUACUGCUGAAAACCUGUGUGAUAUAGAGGUUUGAGUUUCUCUAAAUUUGAGUUCAAAGAAAUUGGUUAUAAGAUUUGUUAUAUUAGACCUUUAUUUUUUAAAGCAUGUUAAAUUUAUAAGGGUGAAGAUCUAUUUACUUUAUUUUUUAAUACACAUGCUCCCAGAAAUGAAGUCUGCAGAUGACUUAUUGCAGUUUAACUACAUGCUGAAUUUUAGUUUAUGAAUCAUGGGAAAAAUUGACUUUCAACUUUAUCUUUUAAAACCAUAAUUAUUCAGUAGAUUCUUUUUAAACAGCCAUUGAAUUUAAGGUAAACAUUUUGAUAAAAUUUGAAAUUUUAGAAUUUCCAAUGAAUAAAUAGCCUUUAUAUUACACAUCUUUUGUUGGCGCGGCUGUAUAUUUAAGAAAAAUGAUAAUAGUAAAAAAAAAAACUAUGCUGAAAUAUCAAAAUAUUGGAAUUUCCCCAAAAAACUCUAGCCUUUAUAUCACACAUCUUUUGUUGGCGCGGCAGUAUAUUUAAGAAAAAUGAAAAAAGUAAAAAAAAAAAUGUGGAGAACUGAAGAAAAAAAUAUGAUACUGCUGAAAACCUGUGUGAUAUAGAGGUUUGAGUUUCUCUAAAUUUGAGUUAAAAGAAUUUGGUUAUAAGAUUUGUUAUAUUAGACCUUUAAUUAAUUUUUUAAAGUAUGUUUUAUAAGGGUGAAAUCUAUUUCAUUUAUUUUUUAAUACACAUGCUCCCAGAAAUAAAGUCUGCAGAUGACUUAUUGCAGUUUAACUACAUGCUGAAUUUUAGUUUAUGAAUCAUGGGAAAAAUUGACUUUCAACUUUAUCUUUAAAAACCCUAAUUAUUCAGUAGAUUCUUUUUAAGUAGCCACCAAAAUUUAGGUGAAAUUAUGCUGAAAUAUCAAAAUAUUAGAAUUUCCCAAAAAAACUCUAGCCUUUAUAUUACACAUCUUUUGUUGGCGCAGUAGUAUAAGAAAAAUGAAAAAAGUAAAAAAAAAAUGUGGAGAACUGAAGAAAAAAAUAUGAUACUGCUGAAAAUUUGUGGGAUUUGAGUUUUUAUAAAAUUUGAAUAUAGAGAUAUAAGUAUUAAGGAUCUUGUACAGUCAAACCUGUUUUAAGCAUGUCACUCAUGGGAAGUAUCAAAAGGGACGGCUCGAGAAAAGUGACCUUUAAAAAGAGUUUCUGUGGCUGGGAAUGCAACUUGGUUUAGUGUUUUAGUUGGAAGAUUUAUCAUUCGUUCGUUUGUUUCGUUCGUGUGAGCAGACAAAUAUUAAAGGGUGGACUCUUGCACUGUCAAUUUGAAGAAGACAUUUAUUGAUUUAAAGAUGUUGAUAUAAUUGGAUAAACAAGUCUGUGAAAUGCUUUUCAAUGGUAUUAAUUGAAAGGAGUGGAAUACAAGGAUUCACCUAUUGCAAGAUCUGUUGCAAACCAUGAAACGGGUUCCGAUUCUCAUUUUGAUUUUGAUACUGAACACAUAUAUUUUUCAUCAUGAUUAUAAUUAUAAUUAAAAACAGUAAAAUGAUGAUUUCGUGCAUAAAAUAAGGUGACCGCAUCGGACGGGUGAUCUCUGAAAUGAGUUAAAUAUAUAGAGAAAAUGCUUGAGAGGGUCACCAAGAGACCGUUAGAGAUAGUUGACCUCUUAAACAAGGUGGUGACCUUAAGGCAGGUUUGACUGUAUAUGAUUAUUUUUUUCACAUCUAGAAUUUUUGUAAUCAAUAAAUCAUGUAAAGAGUGACUUUCAAUCAACUUGAUCAUUAACAACCAUUGUUUUAGAAGUUUCUUUUUAAGCAUAAGCAGCAACUGUUUUUUUUAAAGGAAAUACCUACAUGCAUGAGAUGCAAAGAGUGGAAUAAUCAGCAAGGAGACAUGAAAUUCAUUUUCAGGUAUAAUUGGAUUGCUGCUACAUAAGAAAAGUUCACAAUCAGGAAAUUGAAGUCUCUUUUGUCAAAUUAUUAGCUCUCAGCUGGUCCUUGCUGAUAGUUUCUGGGCGACGGCAAGUUUUGAAGCACAGUAUCCGUAUCUGUUGUAUCCUUCUUCUGGUUCAGUGGGUUAGGUGUGAUCAACUUUUGAGUUAUCUAUAUUAAAAGAGAUCGCCUUCAUAAUGUGAAAUGUGAAAUUAAGGGAUAAUGCUUGAUCUUUUUAUCCUUGAUAAGUGCCUGUAUGAAGUCUGUCUUAAAAGGGGCAGGGUUCCCAUAGCAAUGUCAACAUUUUUAGCUCACCUGGCCCUUUGGGCCAAGUGAGCUUUUCUCAUCACUUGGCGUCUGUCGUCUGUUGUCGUCCGUCGUCGUCGUUAACUUUUAAAUAUAAAUACAUUUUGAACUAGUGAAUGGAAAGAAACCAAACAUGGCAUGAUUGUUUCUUAUUAGAUGCUGACCAAGUGUUGUUACUUUGUAGCCGAUCCAUCAUCCAAGAUGGCCGCCAGCGUGGGACUUAGUUUAACAUAGGACCCUAUGGACAAUACAUGUACAUACAAAUGUCUUCUUUUAGAGAACCACUGAAUGGAAUGAAACUAAACAUGGCAUGAAUUUUCCUUAUGAGGUGCUGACUAAAUGUUGUUACUUUGAAGCUGAUCCAUCUUCCAAGAUGCCCGCCAGCGUGGGACUUAAGUUCAACAAAGGACCCUAUGGACAAUACAUACAAAUGUGUUCUUUUAGAGAACCACUGAAUGGAAUGAAAUUAAACAUGGCAUGAAUGUUCCUUAUGAGGUGUUGACCAAGUGUUGUUACUUUGUAGGUGAUCAAUCAUCCAAGAUGGCCAACAGUGGGGGACUUAGUUUAACAUAGGACCCUAUGGACAAUACAUGUACAUACAAAUGUCUUCUUUUAGAGAACCACUGAAUGGAAUGAAACCAAACAUGGCAUGAUUGUUCCUUAUGAGGUGCUGACCAAGAGUUGUUACUUUGUAGCCGAUCCAUCAUCCAAGAUGGCUGCCAGCAUGAGACUUAGUUUAACAUAGGACCCUAUGGACAAUACAUACAAAUGUCUUCUUUUAGAGAACAACUGAAUGAAAUGAAACUAAACAUGGCAUGAAUGUUCCUUAUGAGGUGCUGACCAAGUGUUGUUACUUUGAAGGAAGCCGAUCCAUCUUCCAAGAUGGCUGCCAGCAGGGGACUUCGUUUAACAUUGGACCAUAAUGGAUAAUACAUACAAAUGUCUUCUUUUAGAGAACCACUAAAUGGAAUGAAACAAACCAUGGCAUGAAUGUUCCUUAUGAGGUGUUGACCAAUUGUUGUUACUUUGAAGCCGAUCAGUCAUCCAAGAUGGCCGCCAGAGAGGGACUUAGUUUAACAUAGGACCCCAAGGACAAUACAUACAAAUGUCUUCUUUUAGAGAACCACUGAAUGUAAUGAAACUAAACAUGGCAUGAAUUUUCCUUAUGAGGUGCUGACCAAGUGUUGUUACUUUGUAGCCAAGCAAUCAUCCAAGAUGGCUACCAGAGGGUAACUUAGUUUAAGGACCCUAGCUAUGUGAAAUACAUACAAAAAUCUUCUUUUGAAGAACCACUGAAUGGAAUGAAACUAAACAUGGCAUGAAUGUUCCUUAUGAGGUGCUGACCAAGUGUUGUUACUUUGUAGCAAAUCCAUCAACCAAGAUGGAUGCUAGCAGGGGGACUUAGUUUAACAAAGGACCCUAUGGGAAAUAUAUACAAAUGUCUUCUUCUAGAAAACCGCCUAAUGGAUUGAAACCAAACAUGGUAUGAAAGUUUCUUUAGAGGUGCUGACCAAGUGUUGUUACUUUGUAGCUGAUUUGUCAUCCAAGAUGGCUGCCAGCAGGGGGAGUAAGUUUAACAUAGGACCCUAUGGGAAAUACAUACAAGUGUUUUCUUCUAGAGAACAACUGAAUAGAAUGAAACCAAACAUGGCAUGAAUGUUUCUAAUGAGGUGCUGACUAAGUGUUGUUACUUUGUAGCUGAACCAUCCUUCAAGAUGGCUGCCAGCAGGGGACUUAGUUUAACAUAAGACCCUAUGGGAAAUAGUCAUACCCCAAGAUUUUUUAUUUAAUUACGGGGCCAAUAUUAAACCAAAUUUGGCCUCAAUCAUCAUUAGGGUAUCCAUUAUGAUUUCCAAAACCAAAGUAGAAUCAGGUGAGCGACACAGGCUCUUGAGAGCCUCUAGUUUGUUUUAGUUCUUUUUUUAAAUUUUUUUAUAGUUUUCUUAUGCCAUUUUUUCCUUUUUCAGAUGAAAAAAAAUUCUCCCUCUUCAACAUUAUUUCAUUAUUUAAUUAAUUAUAACCUUUUUCUCAUUCUGAAUCAGUAUUAAGGUCUGCAGUAAUGCUUUUAGAAAUUUAAAUUAUUAUUUUUAUUCCUCUAAAUUUCUGGACAGUUUAUC